AUUUCAACCUCGUACUCAGGGCUUCUGCGCUUAUUACUCUCAGAGAGCAAUAAGCGCAGAAGCCCUGGGUACGAGGUUGUGCUGAUUUUU
rnacentral:miRNA from 1 species